ACUCAAAUGAAUUGACGGGGGCCCGCACAAGCAGCGGAGCGUGUGGUUCAAUUCGAUGCAACGCGAAGAACCUUACCCAGGCUUGACAUGCCGUUGGUAGGAGGGGGAAACUCCUCCGACCCGCAAGGGAGGCGGCACAGGUGCUGCAUGGCUGUCGUCAGCUCGUGCCGUGAGGUGUUGGGUUAAGUCCCGCAACGAGCGCAACCCUCGCUGCCAGUUCAGUUGUCUGGCGGGACCGCCGGGUUCAACCCGGAGGAAGGUGGGGAUGACGUCAAGUCAGCACGGCCCUUACGUCUGGGGCUACACACACGCUACAAUGGCCGGUACAACGGGUUGCGAAGGGGUGACCUGGAGCCAAUCCCAGCAAAGCCGGUCUCAGUGGGGAUUGGGGGCUGCAACUCGCCCCCAUGAACGCGGAGUUGCUAGUAACCGCAGGUCAGCACACUGCGGUGAAUACGUUCCCGGGCCUUGUACACACCGCCCGU
rnacentral:rRNA from 1 species